rnacentral:rRNA from 1 species
UAGGGAAUCUUCCGCAAUGGACGCAAGUCUGACGGAGCAACGCCGCGUGAGUGAAGAAGGAUUUCGGUUCGUAAAACUCUGUUGUUAGAGAAGAACAGCGCAUAGAGUAACUGUUAUGCGUGUGACGGUAUCUAACCAGAAAGCCACGGCUAACUACGUGCCAGCAGCCGCGGUAAUACGUAGGUGGCAAGCGUUGUCCGGAUUUAUUGGGCGUAAAGCGAGCGCAGGCGGUCAAUUAAGUCUGAUGUGAAAGCCCCCGGCUCAACCGGGGAGGGUCAUUGGAAACUGGUUGACUUGAGUGCAGAAGAGGAGAGUGGAAUUCCAUGUGUAGCGGUGAAAUGCGUAAAUAUAUGGAGGAACACCAGUGGCGAAGGCGACUCUCUGGUCUGUAACUGACGCUGAGGCUCGAAAGCGUGGGUAGCAAACAGG